rnacentral:rRNA from 1 species
AUUGAACGCUGGCGGCAUGCUUUACACAUGCAAGUCGAACGGCAGCGCGGGCUUCGGCCUGGCGGCGAGUGGCGAACGGGUGAGUAAUGCAUCGGAACGUGCCCAGUAGUGGGGGAUAGCCCGGCGAAAGCCGGAUUAAUACCGCAUACGAUCUGAGGGUGAAAGCGGGGGACCGAAAGGCCUCGCGCUAUUGGAGCGGCCGAUGUCGGAUUAGCUAGUUGGUGGGGUAAAGGCUUACCAAGGCGACGAUCCGUAGCUGGUCUGAGAGGACGACCAGCCACACUGGGACUGAGACACGGCCCAGACUCCUACGGGAGGCAGCAGUGGGGAAUUUUGGACAAUGGGGGCAACCCUGAUCCAGCCAUGCCGCGUGCGGGAAGAAGGCCUUCGGGUUGUAAACCGCUUUUGUUCGGGAAGAAAUCCUCUGGGCUAAUACCCCGGGGGGAUGACGGUACCGGAAGAAUAAGCACCGGCUAACUACGUG